rnacentral:lncRNA from 1 species
AACAUAGCGCACUCAGGUUAACCCUCCCCAUAUACCUGUUGGUGAAUAGUAUAGUUCCAACUGCUAUCCUAGACAAGUUGUCAGAUUUCAGUCUGACGAACCGAAGCUUUCAAGUCGUCAGCUAAGGAAGACAUAAACUGAAGAAUUCCCUAACCAUUCCACAUGGGAUGGAUAACAUCAUAACAAAGCUAUAGCCUGAAG